ACGCUCGACACCUACGAGAGGCAGCAGUGGGGAAUAUUGCACAAUGGGGGAAACCCUGAUGCAGCGACGCCGCGUGAGCGAAGAAGUAUCUCGGUAUGUAAAGCUCUAUCAGCAGGGAAGAAGAUGACGGUACCUGACUAAGAAGCACCGGCUAAAUACGUGCCAGCAGCCGCGGUAAUCUGAGGCGGGCGUGGCGAAGGC
rnacentral:rRNA from 1 species